CCUACGGGAGGCAGCAGUGAGGAAUAUUGGUCAAUGGGCGAGAGCCUGAACCAGCCAAGUCGCGUGAGGGAGUACUGCCCUAUGGGUUGUAAACCUCUUUUGUCGGGGAGCAAAAGCCGGACGUGUCCGGCUGUGAGAGUACCCGAUGAAAAAGCAUCGGCUAACUCCGUGCCAGCAGCCGCGGUAAUACGGAGGAUGCGAGCGUUAUCCGGAUUUAUUGGGUUUAAAGGGUGCGCAGGCGGAUUUUUAAGUCAGCGGUAAAAUCGUGGGGCUCAACCCCAUCCAGCCGUUGAAACUGGGGAUCUAGAGUGUGCGAGAGGUAUGCGGAAUGCGUGGUGUAGCGGUGAAAUGCAUAGAUAUCACGCAGAACCCCGAUUGCGAAGGCAGCAUACCGGUGCACAACUGACGCUCAGGCACGAAAGCGUGGGUAUCGAACAGGAUUAGAUACCCCGGUAGUC
rnacentral:rRNA from 1 species